rnacentral:lncRNA from 10 species
CGACAAGCAUUCACUUCCGGGGUGAAGAAUUCCUUUCCGGCCUACAGACCCCGCCCUCACAAAACUGCGGGCAAGUGAAGCGUGCUUCAGCCUCUUCCUCCCCGCGCCUGUCAGUUCACUCUCACUCGCUCAUUCACUGCAGCAUGAGCAUGCCGAGGACCGUGCCAGAUCCUGGGUUCCUCGGGGCAGUGAGGGGCCGGAUUAAUCUAUGCCUCCGUCCUUACCCGUGACCUGUGCACUUGAACAUCCUAUUCCAAGACAGAAAAGUACUCACGGGGUAGCUCCAGGGACCAGCAGCUCCGGCAGGGACCCCCAGGGAACAGGGCUGCCUGCCAACUGGGACCCCAAAGGCUGCUGGUGAGCCCAGGGCAAGGCCGCUGCACCUGCGCCAGGGAUGCUUGAAAUCCACCGAAAGGGGACAGCCACGUGCUUCCCCUCAGGGAUGGAGAGCCUGAGUUGGGUGUGGACCUCAACACUUCCUGAAAGUGAAAACUGAAAGUGUUUGGACAAACUGAGGAGAAAAUGCUAUCCAGGAUAUAGAGUGUGCCCAAGAGAAGGAGCUGUCAGUUUCUCCCUAUCCAAAGUUGGUUGCUACACAAAUGACUGGAAUGAACCAUGGGCCAAGAGAAUGUGAGGGCACAAGAAUGGCCAGACACAAUCCUCUCCUUGCACUCCCCAGACCCACUCAGGCUUUCCAUUAAAACUUGUCUGCCAAGAACCUUCAGGGUAUGAGCUGACCACAGUCUCUUCCACAGACUUAAUACAGGAAGAAUAUGGGAGGAAGAGUGGAAGAAACUUCUGACCCACUACUCCAACUGAUCCGUCCUCCAGGACUCAUUCUCAAUAUCCUCAUUCUUGGCUACCAGUUCAGCAGGUCUAAGCUGAUGACCUGGUGAAGUAACCCAGACCUUCAUCUCUAAGAAUCGGAGUAUUUAGUUGCCUUACCAUUGUUGGGCAUUUAUAGUUAUUGAGGGCAUGGAAGUAUGGAGACAUCUCAUUGAAUUUCCUGGCUUCCAGACAUGUAUCUUCCUGCCUUUGUUAUGUAGCAGCAACUCUGACUCUCUAUGGUAACAAACACAAAACUCCCGUCUUUAUCUGAUGAUCCACUAUCAUGAACUAUUCAAAAUGACCUGGCAGUGGUCAUGGUUUCAAGUUCAGUGGUAUUCUUAUCAUAUCAUCCAGAAAUGCAUCUCCACCCUUACCCUAGGAACCAGGACCUCUAAUCCAGUAGAGCAAUAAGCUGACAAGAAUAAGAAGUACUAAUUCUGCAAAUGAGUCACUGGGAGUGAUGGAGCCAAUCUUAUUUCUAUUCCUUGUUUCCUGAACCUGUGUAUUCUGUUAGACAAAGUACCAUAUAUUGAUUGUUGCUUCAAUAAAUACAACUUCACCCUGAAGACAGCAAC